rnacentral:misc_RNA from 1 species
UUUUCAUUGCUAAUCAUUAUAUAUAGUUGCAACUCCAAAGAAGAUUUUGGGGAUUAUGAAUGUUAAGGGCCUAAACAUAUACCAUGUCAAAAGCCACUUGCAGGUAAUUUCCACUUACAAGCUGUACUUUAUUAUGUAGCUACAGCUUUACAAGAUAAUUGUGAAUAUUAUUUGCAGAAAUAUCGACUUGCCAAGGAUUUUCCACAGCAGAAACAUG